rnacentral:rRNA from 1 species
UCUUCCCUCUUUCUUCGUGCCUCCUCCCUGCACGUCGAGCGCACGGACGAGAAGCUUGCUUUUCUGAUGUUAGCGGCGGACGGGUGAGUAACACGUGGAUAACCUACCUAUAAGACUGGGAUAACUUCGGGAAACCGGAGCUAAUACCGGAUAAUAUUUUGAACCGCAUGGUUCAAAAGUGAAAGACGGUCUUGCUGUCACUUAUAGAUGGAUCCGCGCUGCAUUAGCUAGUUGGUAAGGUAACGGCUUACAAAGGCAACGAUGCAUAGCCGACCUGAGAGGGUUAUCGGCCACACUGGAACUGAGACACGGUCCAGACUCCUACGGGAGGCAGCAGUAGGGAAUCUUCCGCAAUGGGCGAAAGCCUGACGGAGCAACGCCGCGUGAGUGAUGAAGGUCUUCGGAUCGUAAAACUCUGUGAUUAGGGAAGAACAUAUGUGUAAGUAACUGUGCACAUCUUGACGGUACCUAAUCAGAAAGCCACGGCUAACUACGUG